GAAGCAUCGGACCUAAAGAGCUUCCUGAAAUGGGCAGCUGAGUUGGGAAUCUCAGCCACUCCUUUAACUUCAACCCCUCAAUCAGAUUCAUGUUUGGGACACUCCCUUUUUGUCUCUAAUAUCCCUGAUGCAGGAGGGUAUAUAUAUAUUAAUCAAAACUCUUUUCUCCUUAUGAAUAUGUUAUAUACGCAUGGUGAUGAAUGAAUGAUUUUUCUGAUGUUGCAGGAGAGAUUUAGCAGCAGCUCGUGAUAUUCGGAAAGGGGAAUUGAUUCUUAAAGUUCCAAACGGAGCGUUAAUGACUAGUCAAAG
rnacentral:lncRNA from 1 species